rnacentral:rRNA from 1 species
CCUACGGGACGCACCAGUGGGGAAUAUUGCACAAUGGGCGCAAGCCUGAUGCAGCCAUGCCGCGUGUAUGAAGAAGGCCUUCGGGUUGUAAAGUACUUUCAGCGGGGAGGAAGGUGUUGUGGUUAAUAACCACAGCAAUUGACGUUACCCGCAGAAGAAGCACCGGCUAACUCCGUGCCAGCAGCCGCGGUAAUACGGGGGGUGCAAGCGUUAUCGGAAUUACUGGGCGUAAAGCGCACGCAGGCGGUCUGUCAAGUCGGAUGUGAAGUCCCCGGGCUCAACCUGGGAACUGCAUUCGAAACUGGCAGGCUAGAGUCUUGUAGAGGGGGGUAGAAUUCCAGGUGUAGCGGUGAAAUGCGUAGAGAUCUGGAGGAAUACUGGUGGCGAAGGCGGCCCCCUGGACAAAGCCUGACGCUCAGGUGCGAAAGCGUGGGGAGCAAACAGGAUUAGAUACCCGCGUAGUC